UUUGGUUAAAACUGCUGCUCACUGGAUAUUUUCUCUCUUUCAGAACAUCUUCUGUGAACCCUACAGAUGGUUGUGUGAGAAAAUCCCAGAUGAAAUAAUAAG